GCAGUAGCCGCGGUAAUACGUAGGUCCCGAGCGUUGUCCGGAUUUAUUGGGCGUAAAGCGAGCGCAGGCGGUUAGAUAAGUCUGAAGUUAAAGGCUGUGGCUUAACCAUAGUACGCUUUGGAAACUGUUUAACUUGAGUGCAAGAGGGGAGAGUGGAAUUCCAUGUGUAGCGGUGAAAUGCGUAGAUAUAUGGAGGAACACCGGUGGCGAAAGCGGCUCUCUGGCUUGUAACUGACGCUGAGGCUCGAAAGCGUGGGGAGCAAACAGGGUUAGAUACCCGCGUAGUCCCUGUCUCUUAUACA
rnacentral:rRNA from 1 species